rnacentral:rRNA from 1 species
CGUGUAGGCGGCAAGAUAAGUUGAGUGUGAAAGCCCUGGGCUUAACCCAGGAAGUGCGCUCAAAACUGUCUAGCUAGAGUACGGGAGAGGGUAGCGGAAUUCCCGGUGUAGAGGUGAAAUUCGUAGAUAUCGGGAGGAACACCAGUGGCGAAGGCGGCUACCUGGACCGAUACUGACGCUGAGACGCGAAAGCGUGGGUAGCAAACA